rnacentral:rRNA from 1 species
AUGAAGAGAUCAUUUUUUUACCGCAUCGGCCGUGGAAUACCAUGUCGAGAAGAUGUGCCAGUAGCGCAAACGGUCCGGGCUCCUGCCCACGGCAGCGUGGACGUCGGUGGCGAACAUGUUCGCUGCACCGGUGAGCAACGUGAAGAGCCGCUGGGCCACGCCUUUGUUCGUAUUAAGGCGUCGUAUUUGCAGGACGAAUAUCCAAGAUGGUUUUGCUUUAAUUUUUUUUCGUUUUCUACCUUGAUUAGCGGGAGCACAAUAAUUACCUGGUGCAUGCGACCCUGUUCUACUGUGUGUUUAUAG